rnacentral:rRNA from 1 species
CGGGACGGGGUAGGAGGUAACGCGUGGGUAACCUGCCUCAAAGGGGGAGGUAACAGUUAGAAUAGACUGCUAAUACCGCAUAAGCCCACGGGUCGGCAUCGACCUGAGGGAAAAGGAGCAAUCCGCUUUGAGAUGGCCUCGCGUCCGAUUAGCUAGUUGGUGAGGUAACGGCCCACCAAGGCGACGAUCGGUAGCCGGACUGAGAGGUUGAACGGCCACAUUGGGACUGAGACACGGCCCAG